CGAAAAGGCCUGCGGGGGACUGACUGGGAGCGGCAGAGGCGCUGGCGGGGGGACCGCGGAGCGUCCCUGUCGUUUGGCGCCACCGGGGACUCUUGCCCGGCAGAGGGCGCGAUGCUGCUACGCCUGAGCUCCCACUUUGACCCGCAGAAGGAUGCGGCGUCCUGGCUGGCGAGGCAACCCCUGGCCGCCGCCGCUGAUGCUGAGACUUUUUUGGAGAGUUUGAAAACACUACACACAGUAAACAUUGAAAGAAAUGGAAAUAUUAUUUACACCUGGAAGGGUACUUGGGGACACACUUAUAUUGGACUGUAUGAUCCCAGCAACCAGACAAAUGAG